rnacentral:rRNA from 1 species
GAUGAACGCUGGCGGCGUGCCUAAUACAUGCAAGUCGAGCGAAGCGGGUACGGGUGAGUAACACGUUGAUAACUUUCUAUAAGACUGGGAUAACCUCGGGAAAACGGAGCUCAACCCGUCACUCAUAGAUGGUCCCACGUUGCAUUAGCUAGUGGGUAAGGUACCGGAUUACCAAGGCAAAGAUGAAUAGCCGACCUGAGAGGAAGAUCGGCCACACUGGAAAUGAGACACGGUCAAGCCACCUACGGGAGGCAGGAGUAGGAAAUCUUCCGCAAUGGGCGAAAGCCUGACGGAGCAAGGCCGCGUAAGUGAAGAAGGUCUUCGGAUCGUAAAACUCUUUUAUUAGGGAAGCGGUACCUAAUCAGAGAGGCACGGCUAACUACGUGCCAGCAGCCGCGGUAAUUC